GCUGGGCAUGGUGGUGUGUGCUUGUAGUCCCAGCUACUUGGGAAGCUGAGAUGGGAGGAUCCCAUGAGCCCAGGAGGUCAGGACUGCAGUGAGCUGUGAUUGUGCCCACUGCACUCCAGCCUGGGUGACAGAGUGAAACCCUGUCUCAA
rnacentral:SRP_RNA from 1 species